rnacentral:lncRNA from 10 species
CGGGGGAAAGGCCUUUUCCUUCCUUUUUCAGGACAGACAGGAAAGCCGGGGCUCCUCACUCCCCCUCCCCUCUGUGCCCGGGACGGGAUGCAUGGCCCAAGGGUCCCACACAGCUGGCUAGAUGGUUCUCAGACACAAGCCACCGCAGCCUUCCUUUUCCCCUGCCAGGGGGUUAAACUUUAUCAGAGAGUAAUUAAGCUUUAACCCUGCUGUUGAAAUCACUUGCAGACGAAUAAGAAGUUCUUCCCCAGGCAUUUUUAAACCUUUUUUCACUCCCCUUUUCCACCUCCUCAACAAGUAAACCCUUAAAGUUUUUUUUUUGUUUGUUUGUUUGUUUUUUUUUAGAAGACACUUUACUAGGCCACUCCCUCUGCUCCCCAGCUAUCACUGUAUGCUCUGCAAAGUUUUGCUUGUGAAAUAAAUCCUCUAUUUUGUUUUACAUCCUGAGGCCAUGGCUUAUAACUCUGGCGGCAAGGAUUUGUUUAGCAAUCCUGCCUUAGGGGAUGAGCCCUCUCUAAUUCAAUAUCUGCAUGUCCCCUGUCUCUUAAAGGGCCUCACUCACGGCAUAUGGAACUAACCACGCCCCUAACUAAGAAGGCACACCUUAGUUGCAGUUAGCACACAAUUAAAGCAACUCUCCAAGUUUUACCUUAAAGUUCAAAAUUGCUAGGAGUUGAAACUACUAGAAAUAUAUUUACAUGCAAGAGUCAAAGAAACUUUGAACUAUUUAUGGCCUUUAAUAAUUAAGUAAGGUAUACUCCUGUGAUCAAGACUUGGAGCAUAUUUGUUUCUCUCUGCCUGGUUCCUCUAGAAAUUGGAAACUAUCAGAACAGAGACCAACUCCGUUUCCCGAUCCCUUUGCAAUCUGCAUUGAACCAUGAGUCAAGUUCUUGAUAAAGGAGUGAAAAUGUGUGUGACACAUGUGCUCAUGGAUUAUUGUCCGAAGCAAGACAUGUGACCAAGCCUAACAUCAACUGGGUGAAGAGCUAUAUGUUCCUUUCUCAAGAGGCACUACAAGUGACAUGCCACUGG